GGACGGGAGCUGAGGGCUGGGUCUUUGCGGGCGAGAUGAGGUGUCGGAUCAACUGGCCUACAAAGUCCCAGUCCUCGGCGCCC
ensembl:miRNA MIR193A microRNA 193a